AACGUAGGAGGCGAUUGUUAUCUGGAUUUACUGGGCGUAAAGCGCGUUUAGGCAGUGCUCUAAGUUGGACGUGAAAUCUCCCGGCCUAACCGGGAGGGGCCGUUAAAUACUGGAGCACUUGGGGGCAGAAGAGGGAAGUGGAAUUCCCGGUGUAGCGGUGGAAUGCGUAGAUAUCGGGAGGAACACCAGUGGCGAAGGCGGCUUCCUGGUCUGCCCUUGAAUUUGAGACGCGAAAGCUAGGGGAGCGAACGGG
rnacentral:rRNA from 1 species